rnacentral:rRNA from 1 species
GACGAACGCUGGCGGCGUGCCUAAUACAUGCAAGUCGAGCGCAGGAAACUGACGGAACUCUUCGGAGGGAAGGCAGUGGAAUGAGCGGCGGACGGGUGAGUAACACGUAAGGAACCUGCCUCAAGGAUUGGGAUAACUCCGAGAAAUCGGAGCUAAUACCGGGUAGUUCAUCGGACCGCAUGGUCCGUUGAUGAAAGGCGCUCCGGCGUCACCUUGAGAUGGCCUUGCGGUGCAUUAGCUAGUUGGUGGGGUAACGGCCCACCAAGGCGACGAGGCAUAGCCGACCUGGGGGGGUGAUCGGCCACACUGGGACUGAGACACGGCCCAGACUCCUACGGGAGGCAGCAGUAGGGAAUCUUCCACAAUGGACGAAAGUCUGAUGGAGCAACGCCGCGUGAGUGAUGAAGGUUUUCGGAUCGUAAAACUCUGUUGUAAGGGAAGAACACGUACGAGAGGGAAUGCUCGUACCUUGACGGUACCUUACGAGAAAGCCACGGCUAACUACGUGCCAGCCGCCGCAGUAA